rnacentral:tRNA from 1 species
CAGAGAUUAGUUUAUUUAAAAUAUAAAUUUUGGGGAUUUAAGAAGAGGGUAGCCUUAUCUCUGA